CUUGGCGCCAUAGAUCGAAUUUAUUUAUAAGGAUAUGAUCUCUUGAGCCACCAUAUAUUUCACACAAAUGUAAGUUGUAUCAUGAGCAACAGCUCAAGCAGUGAGCCUUGUUAGUGUUGGGAGCCUGUAUGAGACAAGCUAGCCACAUAAGGAAGGUUUGUUUCAGGACAAAGCCUAUUAACUUAACUGUGUUAUUCCACGUGACAUGUUAAUGCUCGGUCUAAUCUUUUUUAAUUUCCACGUCUUUGUGACACUGAAACUACUUUUCGGUGUAUCUGAAUGAGAAACCCAAAGGAAUGGAUCCUUGGUUUCCAUAGAGAUGAUAGCAAGUGAGGUCAAAUACAUAUGGAGCGCCUUAGUUGUGUUACUCCUAGCCCCAUGUAAGUUCCAACCGACGAGUUUAGUUGGCCACAUUUGCAAUGAGAGAAAUAUCAUACCAAAGGUCACAAGUCUAGGAGCAAAUCUCAAAUCAAGCAUCCUUGAGAACACAUAUAUCCAUGUCAAUAAUAAAGAGGUAGUAGGAAAAAUUGUAGCUAUCAACACAUCCAGAAUAAAUCUCAGUCAAAAGCUUUGUGAAGAUCAAUCUUGGUUUUAUUUCGAUAUCAUAUGAAAUCAUUAUAUCCUUUCCACCGUAAUUAUAAUUUUGCAUGCCAAAUUUCGAUGUAACUCAUGAUCGAGCACUAGAUCUAACAUCUGUGUACAUGAUGAGGCCUAUGGCUUGACGAUAAUAACUAGUCAAUGAUCAAGGUCUAUUAAUAUUCUUUUAGCCGUCGAAUGCAAUUGGAACUAUCUACUGUGA